CCAUGCCAUCCUCUUUCUUCUCUGCUUUUUCUAUGAAAAAACCAUAGAUUUUUGACUCCCUAAAAUGAUCAUAUAGAAGGCACCACUGUAUAAGGUAGACUAGGUCAAAAGACCUAGUCAAACAAGGAAACUAUGGGGCAUCCAACUCUUGGACGCCCCUUCUCUUAUUUUCUGCAUGGAGAGUAGGAAACUAUGCACAAAAAAAGGCAUCAUAAAGAAAAGGUAGGCAUGGAGAAAGUUGGCGCAAG
rnacentral:lncRNA from 1 species